GAGAGAAGGUUAACACUCCCCUUGACAAGGAUGGAAGAGGCCCUUGGGCCUGACAACAUGCCUAUGGUUCAGGCAUUUCCACCUACUUUAUGGCACCUUUUUCACAAACUAUCAUUUUAG